rnacentral:rRNA from 1 species
AUUCUAAAGCUAAUACAUGCUGAUACCCUGUGCGUAGUAUUUAUUAAAAAAAUGCCAACGGGAAAAAUCCUGUGAAGAAAUCAUAAUAACUUACCAAACUUCUUCGAAAGUGAAGCAUUCAAGUUUCUGCCCUAUCACCUUUCGAUGGUAGUGUAUUGAACUACCAUGGCAAUGACGGGUGACGGAAAAUUAGGGUUCAAUUCCGGAAAGGGAGCCUGAAAAACGGCUACCACAUCUAAGGAAGGCAGCAGGCGCGCAAAUUACCCAAUCCUAAUUCAGGGAGGUAGUGACAAGAAAUAACACCGCGGGGCUUCUGUCUCGUGAUUGGAAUGAAAUAAGUGUUAAAUACUUUUCAAUUAUCAACU